rnacentral:misc_RNA from 1 species
GAUGAAGAACGUAGCGAAAUGCGAUACGUAAUGUGAAUUGCAGAAUUCAGUGAAUCAUCGAGUCUUUGAACGCACAUUGCGCCCCCUGGUAUUCCGGGGGGCAUGCCUGUCCGAGCGUCAUUGCUGCCCUCAAGCACGGCUUGUGUGUUGGGCCUCCGUCCUCCUCCCGGGGGACGGGCCCGAAAGGCAGCGGCGGCACCGCGUCCGGUCCUCGAGCGUAUGGGGCUUCGUCACCCGCUCUUGUAGGCCCGGCCGGCGCUUGCCGACACAUCAAUCUUUUUUCCAGGUUGACCUCGGAUCAGGUAGGGAUACCCGCUGUACUUAAGCAUAUCAAUAAGCGGAGGA